GGGGAGAGUUACUGCACAGCCAUUUUCAGGUCUGACCAGAGAUGUUUGAUCCGGUUCAAGUCCGGGCUCUGGCUGGGCCACUCAAAGACAUGUCCUGAAGCCACUACUGCGUUGUCUUUGCUGUGUGCUUAGGGUCGUUGUCCUGUUGGAAGGUGAACCUUCGCCCCAGUCUGAGGUCCUGAGCACUCUGGAGCAGGUUUUCAUCAGGAUCUCUCUGUACUUUUCUUCAUUCAGCUUUGCCUCGAUCCUGACUGUGUCCCAGUCCCUACCAUUGAAAAACACCCCCACAGCAUGAUGCUGCCACCACCAUGCUUCACCAUAAGGAUGGUGCAAGGUUUCCUCCAGACAUGACACUUGGCAUUAAGGCCAAAGAUUUCAAUCUUGGUUUCAUCCACCAGAGACUCUGGUUUCUCAUGGUCUGGGAGUCUUUAGGUACCUAAUGGUCUGGGAGUCUUUAGGUACCUAAUGGUCUGGGAGUCUUUAGGUACCUAAUGGUCUGGGAGUCUUUAGGUACCUAAUGGUCUGAGAGUCUUUAGGUACCUAAUGGUCUGGGAGUCUUUAGGUACCUAAUGGUCUGAGAGUCUUUAGGUACCUAAUGGUCUGGGAGUCUUUAUGUACCUAAUGGUCUGAGAGUCUUUAGGUACCUAAUGGUCUGAGAGUCUUUAGGUACCUCAUGGUCUGAGAGUCUUUAGGUACCUCAUGGUCUGAGAGUCUUUAGGUACCUCAUGGUCUGGGAGUCUUUAGGUACCUUUUGGAAAACUCCAAGCGGGCUGUCAUGUGCUUUUUACUGAGGAGUGGCUUCCGUCUGGCCACUCUACCAUAAACUGGUGGAGUGUUGCAGAGAUGGGUUCUUGGUAACCUCCCUGACCAAGGCCCUUC
ensembl:lncRNA